UACGAAGGGGGCUAGCGUUGUUCGGAAUCACUGGGCGUAAAGCGCACGCAGGCGGAUCGUUAAGUCAGGGGUGAAAUGCCGAGGCUCAACCUCGGAACUGCCUUUGAUACUGGCGAUCUUAGAGUCCGGGAGAGGUGAGUGGAACUCCGAGUGUAGAGGUGAAAUUCGUAGAUAUUCGGAAGAACACCAGUGGCGAAGGCGGCUCACUGGCCCGGUACUGACGCUCAGGUGCGAAAGCGUGGGGAGCAAACAGGAUUAGAAACCCU
rnacentral:rRNA from 1 species